rnacentral:rRNA from 1 species
UACAGAGGUCCCGAGCGUUGUUCGGAUUCACUGGGCGUAAAGGGUGCGUAGGUGGUGAGGUAAGUCGGAUGUGAAAGCUCGGAGCUCAACUCCGAAAUGGCAUUGGAAACUACCUUGCUAGAGGGUUGGAGGGGGGUGGAAUUCCGCGUGUAGCAGUGAAAUGCGUAGAGAUGCGGAGGAACACCGAUGGCGAAGGCAGCCCCCUGGGCUAACACUGACGCUCAGGCACGAAAGCGUGGGGAGCAAACAGG